rnacentral:rRNA from 1 species
UACUUAGUGGCAGACGGGUGAGUAACAUGUGGGUACCUACCCUUUGGCCUGGAAUAACACGAGGAAACUUGUGCUAAUACCGGAUAAGUCUUUACGGAGAAAGCUUUAUGCACCAUUGGAUGAGCCCGCACUUGAUUAGUUUGUUGGUAGGGUAAUGGCCUACCAAGACUAUGAUCAAUAGCUGAUUUGAGAGGAUGAUCAGCCACAUUGGGACUGAGACACGGCCCAAACUCCUACGGGAGGCAGCAGUGGGGAAUCUUGCACAAUGGAGGAAACUCUGAUGCAGCGAUGCCGCGUGAGUGAAGAAGGCCUUUGGGUUGUAAAGCUCUUUCGUCGGGGAAGAAAAUGACUGUACCCGAAUAAGAAGGUCCGGCUAACUUCGUGCCAGCAGCCGCGGUAAUACGAAGGGACCUAGCGUAGUUCGGAAUUACUGGGCUUAAAGAGUUCGUAGGUGGUUGAAAAAGUUGGUGGUGAAAUCCCAGAGCUUAACUCUGGAACUGCCAUCAAAACUUUUCAGCUAGAGUAUGAUAGAGG